UACGGAGGGGGCUAGCGUUGUUCGGAAUUACUGGGCGUAAAGCGCGCGUAGGCGGACCUGUAAGUCGGGGGUGAAAUCCCGAGGCUCAACCUCGGAACUGCCUUCGAUACUGCGGGUCUCGAGUCCGGGAGAGGUGAGUGGAAUUCCUAGUGUAGAGGUGAAAUUCGUAGAUAUUAGGAAGAACACCAGUGGCGAAGGCGGCUCACUGGCCCGGUACUGACGCUGAGGCGCGAAAGCGUGGGGAGUAAACAGG
rnacentral:rRNA from 1 species